GGAAGCCUGGGUUUCUUCCAGGGGGCAGGCGCCGAGGCGGGAGUUGCGCGCGACGCGCCUACCGUGCCUCAGUUUCCCUAGUCCGGGACGCGGAAGCGCGGGUGACUGCGUUGAGUGCUCCCGGACUCGCGGAAGUCUGCAAGUGUAGGGUAGAGAAGUUGCCUUUCUGGUGAUGCAGAUUGUUGCUCUCGAGCGCGGUGGACGCCGUCUCCGGGCCAGAUUCCCAGCCUGCCAUUUCUUCUCUUCCCUUUCACUUUUAUAAAAGUUCACAGCUCUCACUCAAGUCGAAAUCUGUCUUACGGUUGGGAAAGGAAAACCUUUAGCUUAGCAAAGAAGGAUAAUUACAGAGUUCGUAAUAAACCUGCCCUGCUAGCAAGGUCUUCUCCAAGUCAGUUAAAAAACUAAGUUCACUCAUCUCUGCCGGUUGUACUUUUCAAAAGUAACUUCCUAAACUUUGAAAUGCUGCAUCCGGCGACUUUAAGUUAGCCCUUUCAUUAUUGAGAAACUUCAUUUCAUUAUUAAAGGAAUCAUUUUAACCCUGCCAUUGGAGGUAGUGACGCAAAAGUGACAUAGACGCAGUCGGUAAAUCAGAAAACGGGUAAAAUCGACCCACUGGGGACAGAACCGUCUAAAGUUUCGGGUGAUUGUUAUAAUUAUUUAACAAACUGCAAAGCAGUUCCCGCACAGUGGACCUCAUUCGUUCUAGGCACUUGGCUCUCUUUUCCAGCUGAGGCCUCAGGAUUAAAUAACAACAUAUUUUGUGCCCGAGGAAUCCCUAUAUCCCUAUAUAUGGGUAACUGAGGAGACUAGACUGUGACUGAGUGCAACACAUUUCUACAAAACAUAACUUUUACUAAUACAUUGUUUUCCUUUUUUUUAAUUUUUUUUUUAUUUUAUUUUU
rnacentral:lncRNA from 10 species